rnacentral:lncRNA from 1 species
CCCCAUAGAUCAUGGCAGCUAGCUGUGCGUGAAAAACUUCCCAAUUCCCCUUUUCUGCUUCAACUCUGGCUACUCUCAACAGGAACUUCAAUGGCAGACCUACAACCUCUCCACAGGGCUUCCAAUUCUCACCAACUUCCUCAACACUCAACCGGAGAGCUCUGGCAAUCAAUCUGAAGUCGACCUCCUUUGGGACGUCCAAGAAGGGAGUCUGAUGCUGAAUAGGGAUACUCAAUAGGAUAGAAUACUCUUCGAGAGUGGGUGCAAGCUGAUAAUCCUGGAAAGUGAAGCACCUGAGCUCUGGGUCAUAAAACUGAAGUAGUGUCUGCAGAGGCAC